UACGGGGGGGGCAAGCGUUGUUCGGAAUUACUGGGCGUAAAGGGCCCGUAGGCGGUCAAUUAAGUCGGAUGUGAAAUCCCCAGGCUCAACUUGGGAACUGCAUCCGAGACUGCAUUGCUGGAGUACGGAAGAGGAAGGCGGAAUUCCCGGUGUAGCGGUGAAAUGCGUAGAUAUCGGGAGGAACAUCAGUGGCGAAGGCGGCCUUCUGGUCCAGUACUGACACUCAAGUGCGAAAGCGUGGGGAGCAAACAGG
rnacentral:rRNA from 1 species